rnacentral:rRNA from 1 species
UACGUAGGGGGCGAGCGUUGUCCGGAUUUAUUGGGCGUAAAGAGCUCGUAGGCGGUUUGUCGCGUCGAAUGUGAAAACCCGGGGCUCAACCCCGGGCCUGCAUUCGAUACGGGCAGACUAGAGUUCGGUAGGGGAGUCUGGAAUUCCUGGUGUAGCGGUGAAAUGCGCAGAUAUCAGGAGGAACACCGGUGGCGAAGGCGGGACUCUGGGCAGUAACUGACGCUGAGGAGCGAAAGCGUGGGGAGCGAACAGG